CCGAGUUUACAACUCCCAAACCCCUGUGAACAUACCACUUGUUGCCUCGGCGGAUCAGCCCACUCCCGGUAAAACGGGACGGCCCGCCAGAGGACCCCUAAACUCUGUUUCUAUAUGUACUUCUGAGUAAAACCAUAAAUAAAUCA
rnacentral:misc_RNA from 1 species